CAGAGUUGCAACUGCUUCCAUGGCUGUUGGAGGCUCACCAAUGACGUGAAGCCCACAAGGUAACAGGCGAGACUCAAUCUCCAUGAUUUUGGAAUACACCUUUCCAACCACAAGAUCUCGUUCUUUUGCUGAGAUUUCCAUUCCUUCUUCAGGUAGGUCUACGUCCUUGUCAAGAUUGCACUGCUUGGCUGUGCUGAUUAUUGAGCUAACGAUCUGUGACCCGCGGCCUGUGUCUCUCAGGGAUUGGUAGGAGGAGAUGAGCUCACUCAACUGCUUAAGACCUUUAUAAAGUCCAGCAUUUUCUGCAGGAGGAGUCAGAUAGCUGAUGGUGUUGGCAUAGCUCCGACGUUUAGCUAUCGUAGCUUCAGAUGGGUUGUUAGCAGCAUAGUAAUAGACAUUGGGAAUGUUCCCAAUCAGACUGUCCGGGAAGCAGGCAUCACUCAUUCCCACCUGUUUUCCAGGCAUGAAUUCGAGUGAACCAUGUGUACCGAAAUGUAGAACAGCAUCAGCUUGGAAAAUCUUUUCAACAAAUGAAUAGUAUGCUGCAAAGCCGUGAUGUGGGCUAGCAGAUUUGGAGAACAGCAGCCUCAUCGGAUCACCCUCAUAGCCAAAUGUGGGCUGAACCCCGAUGAAGACAUUUCCGUACUGUUUUCCAUAUACCAAUAGAUUCUCUCCAUCGGAGUUGAGGUUACCAGGAGGUUUUCCCCAGUUUUCCUCCAACGCAGUGGCAUAUGGAGUCAGACUUUGAUAUUCACGGACCCCCAUCUUGUAAGCGACAUUCAGAUUUGGGCUGCUGAAUUGAGCUUCUUUGUCAUGAAUUACAUCCUCAAUCAAGGCAUCUGAAGUCUCUGGAAGGUUCUCAACGUUGUAACCAUCUCUCUUGAGUUCUUGCAGAACAGCGAAGAUUGAGGAGAAAACAUUGAGGUAGGC
rnacentral:lncRNA from 1 species